GACAAUAUGUUGAAGGCGUGGACCGGGUACACGACUCUCGUGAGUUGUUCGUCCUCACUGGCAAUCAACACUGUACAAGAAUUUUGGUUUUUGCUGAAAGUUUUUUCUAGCAACAAAAAUAAAAUAUGGGCAAAGAUAUGAUGUACCGAUGUAAUUUCAUUGUGUGUGCACAUCUUUGUUUUUGCCGACGAAAAUAUAUAUGUGGACAAAAAGUUGUGUGGUUGAAAAAAGAAAGUUUUUAGGUUGGAUUUCUGUCAAGGUUUAAUUUAAUUUAUUGCAACAUUUUGUGUUUGAACAAGUAUUUUAAAUAUUUGUCAACGUAAUUUGCGUGGCCAAAAACCUCAUAUUUUUAUACAUAUUUAUGGAGACGCAAGAUUUUUUUGGAGGUUUUGUUUUUAGUUUGUGAGGUGAAUGAUUCGCUCAAAUGAGAGAAUUGGAUCGUUGGAAAUGUUUAGUGAUUUUUGCUUUGGUGUAGCCUUACUUGUUAUCCUUUCAUUGGACUUUUGUUUCUUCGAUUUUCUGGUGAGAUGAUUUUCAAUUGCAUUGUAUGUAAUGUUUAUCGAUAAAUAUGAAUGUUGUAAGAAGAUUGAAGGAAGUUCUUUUUGUCUUUACUCUUGAAAAUGUCAUUCUUUGCAUAAGCGAAGAGAUGUUGAAGUAGUUAACUCAGUUGAACAGGUACUCUUAUAUAUAUCAUGACUUUGUUUUAUGGAUUAACAUAUGUUGGCGAGUAGAUCUUCCAUACAUUUCACAUUUAUUUUAAGAUUUAGCACGUUCUUAUUCAUUUUAAUAUACAUUUUUCAAGUUUAUGUUGUUUGAAAGAGCGGAGAAUGACUAUAUUUCUUUGAAGAUUUUCUAACUGAGCUAACCAUUUUUUGUGUAUUUAAUAUUUUUUUAUUCAUUUUAGUAUGCCAAAAUGAAAAUUAAUAUAGCUCAUGUAUCUCGACACACUAAAGAAUUAUGGUUUGUUAUAUUUUAACAAAGAGUAUUAAUAGUUAAAAAUAUUUUCAUUUUUAAGUUUGGUUGCAAUGUUUGAUAUAUUUUGUUAUAGUCAAUAAAUUCAUUAUAUAUCCAAAAAUUAAUCUAUAACAUAUAGUAUUAAUAAUAAAUGUGAAAAAGUUAUAAUUGUUGUGGGACGUUUUCUGUGUGGGCAAAAAAGUAUUUGACACAUGCAUAUAUACUUAUGCCGACGAAUUUAGGGUGGGGAGAAAUUUUCUUUUUGCAGACAAAAAUAUUUUUGUUGCCAAAAUCAGUUUCUAUCCCACGAAACAAUGUGGCUAGAAAAUUUAUUUUUGUUGACGCGAUGAUGAUCGUGGGUAAAUGACCUUUCUAUCGACAUUUUUUCGUUGGCAAAAAUGUGUUUUCUGCCUCCGAUUUUAAUUGUCGUGGGCAGUUCUGCUGACGUAAGGUCAACAAGUGGCCUAAAAAGACCACGAGGUUUUGGCCAUGAAGCAUGCCCACGCGAAAAAAAACGUUGGCAGAAGCACUACCCAUGUUUUUCUUAAGAUUUGCCAAUGUUUCUCUGCAUCAACAAAGACAAAAGUUCUUGUAGUUCAUGUACGAAGUUGUGAAUCAGGUCUACGUCUUCAAUGUCUUGUCGUGUACCCGGUCCACGACUUCACAUGGUACACGACUUCCUCACUUAAAAAAUCCUCAUCUUCUUGGGUAGAAUCAUUCUACCUCUUCUCUUCUCUUAUAUAUAUUGUUUCCUUCUCUUAUCUCCUCUUUGUGGUCGUGAUCAUUUUGCCCCAUCAUUUGAUCAUUACUUGGUUAGGAGUGCCAAAGUAUAUAAUUAUUUUUACUUUUUAACAUAUAUUUUUGUUUUCUGAUAAAUAAUUUACUUCAAUAAUGUUAUUUUGUAGAACAUUUUAAAAAAUAAUGUAGUGAAAUCGUGUAUUCGCUCCACGACUAGAUCAAGUGUAUGAUUUUGUAUAUAUUUUGAAAAUGUAAUUGUUUGAUUUUACGUUGAUGUAUAUUUUAGAGUUUAAAUUUUAGUGUAUUGAUAUGUAAAUUUUAGGAAUUAAUUCAUAGUAUUAUUGAUAUGUAAAUUGUGUUAAUUAUUUGAUUUUAUGAGAUUUUGAAUUUUUGUUUCAUAAAUUAGACAUUGCAUUAUUGUUUUAAAAGAGUAUAUGUAUUGAUUUGUAAAUUUUUAAACUUAAAAGUGUGUAUAUUUUGUAAUGAAAACUUUUGUUUUGUUUCGUUUUGUACGAUCAUUUACAUUGAAUUAUAUGGUUGUUUACUAUAAUCAACACAAUCUCUUACUAUAAUCAACACGAUCGUUUACCAUGGUUAACAUGAUUACAAUCGUUUAAAGUAUAUUAUUUCACUGCAUAAUCGUUUAAUGUUCUGACAUAAACGAUAAUGCAUAUGAAUAUGAGAAUCAUUUAGAUUAUAUUAAAUGAUCGUUUAUGUAUAAAGUUUUCUCGACAUCGUUUAGAAUUUAUUAUCCCCUCAUUUAAAUUUGAAACAUUUUUUCUCAUCGUUUAAAAUAAACUACAUGAUCUUGUAUCAUGAUCUAAAUCAUCAUUUAGAUUGUAAUACACAAUUGUUCAUAAGAAGAUUACUCGCGUGUCUGUUGAUGGUAGUAUUUUCGUAUGUCACAUCGUGGAUUAAGUUUUUUUUCUUUUUCAAAAUUGUUCUAGUAAAAUUGUAGCAAUAUUUUUUUUAAAAAAAAACUCUUAUAUAUAUAUAUAUAUAUAUAUAAUUUAGCAUAAAGAAGGAGAUUCAAUACAAAUGAGAGCUCAUAGCAUGCUUCUCUUAUUCAUUACAUGUGUUAAACAAUCGGAUAGUUUGGUCACUCGUGAAAAGGUGAAAGAGUAACUGUUUUGGAGUGAAGUUGAAAAGUAUCUGAUCAUUACUUGAUUUAGCACUUCUCAGUUGAUCACAUUCAUAUGUUCUCAAAUUAGAUCAAUUUUUUUUUUACCUCUGUUCUUGUUUGGAUCGGUUUUUGUAUUGAUGAUCCAAAUUAAAAAAAGAAAAAAAAGAUUUGCUCCACCUUUUUAAAGAUAGUGUUGCUUUUCACUUUGGUGAUUGAAUAAUAUAUGCAAGUGAAAUAAUCAAAACAAAACUCUCACACGACCCAAAAUGCAUGGACUUUCUCACUCUUUACUCUCUCAGUCUCUUGUUCUCACAAAUUGCCCGAUCCUCUCUCUUUGUUCUCUACUAGUGUCUCUCUUCGUCGCUAUCACGCAUGCAAGUUGAAUAAAGAAGAAGAGAAGAUAGAAAAAUGUCGUCACAACUCUGAAAGAAGUAAGAAGAAGAUAAACUAUGGGGAAAAAAAACAGAAAAAGAUCCUUGCAUGCAGAAGAGAAGGGGAAAAAACUGUCCGGGAAAAAGAUGAAGAAAUUAGAAGAGCAAGUCUAUAUAAUUUUACUUGUUCAUGACAAAUAUUUUUAUAAAGUGGAACAGUUUUUAACCUCUGUAGUGUUCGUUUUAAAAUAAGUGGCAUAAAUUGCUACGAUGUUAUUGAAUUUUAAAUAGGACACAAUGUCAUUUGAUAAUUAACUCCCCUGAAAACCUAACUUUUUUU
rnacentral:lncRNA from 1 species